UACGUAGGGGGCAAGCGUUGUCCGGAAUUAUUGGGCGUAAAGCGCGCGCAGGCGGCUAUUUAAGUCUGGUGUUUAAACCUUGGGCUCAACCUAAGGUCGCACUGGAAACUGGGUGGCUUGAGUACAGAAGAGGAAAGUGGAACUCCACGUGUAGCGGUGAAAUGCGUAGAUAUCGGGAGGAACACCAGUGGCGAAGGCGACUACCUGGCCUGUUCUUGACGCUGAGGCGCGAAAGCUAGGGGAGCAAACGGG
rnacentral:rRNA from 1 species